UACAAUGUUUUGACUUUUCGUCUUAUUUGAAAUUUUUUUGCGAUUAAUAUUUUUAUUUUUACUGGAUGAUAAAAUAUAAAUAGUACUUUAUAUGUGAUUAAUUUAAGUUUUUUUACAAAAUUUUCAAAUAAGAUGGAUGGUUAAACGUUGGA
rnacentral:pre_miRNA from 1 species